GACGAACGCUGGCGGCGUGCCUAAUACAUGCAAGUCGAGCGGACUUUCAAGAAGCUUGCUUUUUGAAAGUUAGCGGCGGACGGGUGAGUAACACGUGGGCAACCUGCCUGCAAGACGGGGAUAACUCCGGGAAACCGGGGCUAAUACCGGAUAAUAUCUUCCUUCGCAUGAAGGAAGGUUGAAAGGCGGCGCAAGCUGCCGCUUGCAGAUGGGCCCGCGGCGCAUUAGCUAGUUGGUGAGGUAACGGCUCACCAAGGCGACGAUGCGUAGCCGACCUGAGAGGGUGAUCGGCCACACUGGGACUGAGACACGGCCCAGAAUCCUACGGGAGGCAGCAGUAGGGAAUCUUCCGCAAUGGACGAAAGUCUGACGGAGCAACGCCGCGUGAGCGAAGAAGGUCUUCGGAUCGUAAAGCUCUGUUGUCAGGGAAGAACAAGUACCGUUCGAACAGGGCGGUACCUUGACGGUACCUGACCAGAAAGCCACGGCUAACUACGUG
rnacentral:rRNA from 1 species